UGACCAGACUCCUACGGGAGGCAGCAGUGGGGAAUAUUGCACAAUGGGCGAAAGCCUGAUGCAGCAACGCCGCGUGAAGGAAGAAGGCCUUCGGGUCGUAAACUUCUGUCCUUGGGGAAGAAGAACUGACGGUACCCAAGGAGGAAGCCCCGGCUAACUCCGUGCCAGCAGCCGCGGUAAUACGUAGGGAGCGAGCGUUGUCCGGAUUUACUGGGUGUAAAGGGUGCGUAGGCGGCUAUGCAAGUCAGUAGUGAAAUCCAUGGGCUUAACCCAUGAACUGCUAUUGAAACUGCACAGCUUGAGUGAAGUAGAGGUAGGCGGAAUUCCCGGUGUAGCGGUGAAAUGCGUAGAGAUCGGGAGGAACACCAGUGGCGAAGGCGGCCUACUGGGCUUUAACUGACGCUGAGGCACGAAAGCGUGGGUAGCAAACAGGAUUAGAUACCCGUGUAAA
rnacentral:rRNA from 1 species